UGCAUUCUGAGAUACGGCUAAGUAUAAAUACAGAGUAUCCCCGGACUCGGGUUUGGUGAGGAUAGGAGGAGAUUCCAAUGUCUGCUUGGGCUCCUGAAAAGCCUUCUUGCACUCCUUCUUCCAUUCAAAGCAAUGAUUCCCCCUGAGGGCUUUGAAGAAGGGGAAGCACCUGUCUGCUGCCUGGGAUAUGAACCUGUUUAAGGCAGCUACCCUGCCUGUCAACUUUUGAAUCUCUUUCUUGGUCCCUGGUGAUUCCAUUGCUGCCGGAGCCUGAAUCUUGUCGGGGUUGGCCUCAAUCCCCCGAUCAGUGAUCAUAAAACCCAGAAACUUUCUUGAAGCUACGUCGAAUACACGCUUCUUCGGGUUGAGCUUCAUCUUAUAUUUUCGUAGGGUGACGAACACCUCCUCUAGGUCAGAUAUGUGUUCAUCCACCCUCUUACUUUUUACAACCAUAUCAUCAACAUAGGCCUCGAUGUUUUUCCCUAUCAGAUCGGCGAAGACUUUGUUGAUGAGCCUCUGAUAUGUUGCCCCAGCAUUUUUCAAUCCAAAUGGCAUCACCCUAUAGCAAUAUAUGGCCGAAUCAGCCAUGAAUGAAGUCUUCUCUUGGUCUUCUUUGGCCAUGAGGAUUUGAUGAUACCCUGAGAAUGCAUCUAAGAAGCUGUACAACUUAUGUUCGGAUGUGCUAUCCACAAGAUUAUCAAUCCUUGGUAACGGGUAGCUGUCCUUUGGGCACGCCUUAUUAAGAUCUGUGAAGUCAAUGCAGACCCUCCAUUUACCACUGGCCUUUUUCACUAGAACAACAUUAGCGAGCCAAUCGGGGUAUUGGACUUCCCUUAUGAACCCCGCUCCCAACAAUUUUUCGACUUCUUCCUGAAUGACCACACGUCUUUCCGGCGCAAACCGUCUCUUCCUUUGCUUAACAGGUUUGGCCCCUGGGCUGAUAUUGAGUUUUUGGAUAGCUACUUCUGGGUCUAUCCCUGGCAUAUCCUCCACCUUCCAUGCAAAAACAUCAAUGUUGCGGGACAGACAAUUGAUGACUUACUCCCGGAGGUUGGCCUUGAGAUCCUGACUAAUAGUGAAGGCUUUUCCGUGCUCGAGCUCGACCACUUCCAAUUCCUCAACGAGGGCCAAUCUACCCCUUGGCUCGAGCUCGAGGUCUGCGAGUUGCAUGAUGUCAGCACUCAUUCCUCGGAUGCUAGUAACAUAGCACUGUCUAGCCGCUGUUUGGUCUCCUCGAACUACUACGAUGCCAUGACCUGUUGAGAACUUCAUGGUGAGGUGGAAAGUUGACACAACAGCCUGGAUCUUGUUCAGUAGGGGUCUUCCCAGAAUAAUGUUGUAGGCCAUUGGGGUAUUAACCACUUGGAAUGGUGUGAUCUCCGUCACUUGUGUACUACCAGUUCCUAAUGUAAGCGGGAGCUCGACGAUGCCUUCAGGGAUAAUGACUCCACCACCAAAUCCUUGUCGGGGAGUUUUUACUACUUUGAGCUAUUUGGGAGAGAUUCCCAAUUUGGCG
rnacentral:lncRNA from 1 species